GNNCCAGCAGCCGCGGUANUANGUAGGUGGCNAGCGUNGUNNGGAUUUAUUGGGNGUAAAGCGAGCGCAGGCGGUUUNUUAANUNUGAUGUGAAAGCCCCCGGCUUAACCGGGGAGGGUCAUUGGAAACUGGGAGACUUGAGUGCAGAAGAGGAGAGUGGAAUUCCAUGUGUAGCGGUGAAAUGCGUAGAUAUAUGGAGGAACACCAGUGGCGAAGGCGGCUCUCUGGUCUGUAACUGACGCUGAGGCUCGAAAGCGUGGGGAGCGAACAGGAUUAGAUACCCUGGUAGUNCACGCCGUAAACGAUGAGUGCUAAGUGUUGGAGGGUUUCCGCCCUUCAGUGCUGCAGCAAACGCAUUAAGCACUCCGCCUGGGGAGUACGACCGCAAGGUUGAAACUCAAAGGAAUUGACGGGGGCCCGCACAAGCGGUGGAGCAUGUGGUUUAAUUCGAAGCAACGCGAAGAACCUUACCAGGUCUUGACAUCCUUUGACCACUCUAGAGAUAGAGCUUUCCCUUCGGGGACAAAGUGACAGGUGGUGCAUGGUUGUCGUCAGCUCGUGUCGUGAGAUGUUGGGUUAAGUCCCGCAACGAGCGCAACCCUUAUUGUUAGUUGCCAUCAUUUAGUUGGGCACUCUAGCGAGACUGCCGGUGACAAACCGGAGGAAGGUGGGGAUGACGUCAAAUCAUCAUGCCCCUUAUGACCUGGGCUACACACGUGCUACAAUGGGAAGUACAACGAGUUGCGAAGUCGCGAGGCUAAGCUAAUCUCUUAAAACUUCUCUCAGUUCGGAUUGUAGGCUGCAACUCGCCUACAUGAAGCCGGAAUCGCUAGUAAUCGCGGAUCAGCACGCCGCGGUGAAUACGUUCCCGGGCCUUGUACACACCGCCCGU
rnacentral:rRNA from 1 species